rnacentral:rRNA from 1 species
AGCAUGUGGUUUAAUUCGAUGGUACGCGAGGAACCUUACCAGGGCUUGACAUACGUUGGAAGCGCAUCGAAAGGUGCGUGCCGCCUGCGGCCGGCGUACAGGUGCUGCAUGGCUGUCGUCAGCUCGUGCUGUGAAGUGUUGGGCUAAGUCCCGCAACGAGCGCAACCCCUGCUGCCUGUUGCCACCACGAGAGGUGGGGACUCAGGCGGGACCGCCGGUGACAAACCGGAGGAAGGUGGGGACGACGUCAAGUCAUCAUGGCCCUUAUGUCCUGGGCUACACACGUGCUACAAUGGCCGGUACAGAGCGCAGCGAGGCCGCGAGGCGGAGCGAAUCGCUUAAAGCCGGUCCCAGUACGGAUUGGAGUCUGCAACCCGACUCCAUGAAGUUGGAAUCGCUAGUAAUCGCGCAUCAGCAUGGCGCGGUGAAUACGUUCCCGGGCCUU